rnacentral:rRNA from 1 species
GACCUCAAAUCAGGUAGGACUACCCGCUGAACUUAAGCAUAUCAAUAAGCGGAGGAAAAGAAACUAACGAGGAUUCCCCUAGUAACUGCGAGUGAAGCGGGAAGAGCUCAAAUUUGAAAUCUGGCGGUCUGCUUGACCGCCCGAGUUGUAAUCUAGAGAAGUGUUACCUGUGCUGGACCGUGUACAAGUCUCCUGGAAUGGAGCAUCAUGGAGGGUGAGAAUCCCGUCUUUGACAUGGACUACCUGCACGCUGUGGUGCGCUCUCAAAGAGUCGAGUUGUUUGGGAAUGCAGCUCAAAAUGGGUGGUAAAUGCCAUCUAAAGCUAAAUAUUGGCGAGAGACCGAUAGCGAACAAGUACCGUGAGGGAAAGAUGAAAAGAACUUUGGAAAGAGAGUUAAACAGUACGUGAAAUUGCUGAAAGGGAAACGCUUCAAGUCAG